GACGAACGCUGGCGGCGUGCUUAACACAUGCAAGUCGAACGGAAAGGCCCUGCUUUUGUGGGGUGCUCGAGUGGCGAACGGGUGAGUAACACGUGAGUAACCUGCCCUUGACUUUGGGAUAACUUCAGGAAACUGGGGCUAAUACCGGAUAGGAGCUCCUGCUGCAUGGUGGGGGUUGGAAAGUUUCGGCGGUUGGGGAUGGACUCGCGGCUUAUCAGCUUGUUGGUGGGGUAGUGGCUUACCAAGGCUUGGACGGGUAGCCGGCCUGAGAGGGUGACCGGCCACAUUGGGACUGGGAUACGGCCCAGACUCCUACGGGAGGCAGGAGUGGGGAAUAUUGCACAAUGGGCGGAAGCCUGAUGCAGCAACGCCGCGUGCGGGAUGACGGCCUUCGGGUUGUAAACCGCUUUCGCCUGUGACGAAGCGUGAGUGACGGUAAUGGGUAAAGAAGCACCGGCUAACUACGG
rnacentral:rRNA from 1 species